rnacentral:lncRNA from 1 species
AAAAAAAAAAAAAAAAAAAGAUGAGGGUCCAGAGAUUCCAGUCUAAUGCCUCACUCCUGGGUCGAUCUCACCAAAUAGCAAAGGGUUUCCUGUUCACCCUUUCCAUACUGGAACAAGUGAGAGGUGGAGGAUGGUGAAUCAUUUUCCAAAGCCAGAAUUGGCCCUCUUGGAAUCUUUGUGCAUUUCUGAUGGAAUGUAGGAAAAUUAAGGGAAAUCGGGAGGCUCCAGGGAUUUAGCAUGGUUCGGGCCACAGCACAAGGUCCCAUAGGCUCUGAAAGACUAAGCUAUAGCUCCAAUACAGGCGUUAUCUGACUCCAAAGUUCAGGCCUCUUCUACUUGAGAUCUGAGUCCCUCACACUGGAGCAUGGUCAGUUAAGGCUGCAAAAGGGAGAGAGUAAUGGAGGUCAGCGUUGAAUAGAUACGAAUAUAAACUCUUGGGCACUGUUAACGCCAAACAGCCUGACAUCUUACUUCAGAUAUAACUGUAACAGUGUCCAAAAUCCAAUAUUAGCAUUUAAAACUUGUAGCACACUUAUUGUGGAGUCAUUGAGUGAUGCAGAAAGAAAAAAAAAUAAAGCCCUGAGAAUUCAGCUCAUUUACCCAAGUCACUGACGCAUUUAAGGAACAGCUCUUAUAAGUCCAUUUAGGUGGUUUAGGGCUGCGGAAGAUGCCCAGAAUCCCUAAAUAGAAAUAAGUACUGGUCAUCAGAGCAGUGCGGUUAGGCCCUUUCUGGCCAGGAGGUCAUCUUGGGCUCCAGAGCCACUUGUUCAGCUCUGAUAUCUAAACAGCCAAAGUGAAUUAUUCACUUAGGAGGGUGAAAAACACUCAACUCCCUGGGAUUGUCAAAUGGAGUUUUCCAUCAUAAAAUAUCUUAGUCAUUUGGAAUCUAACCAAAGUAAACGCCUGGUCCUGACCCAUCCAUACCUCUGUGCUGGAUGGGAAAGGAGAGAGGGAAAUCCCAAAACAAAUGGAAAAGCCACUUUGCCAGCCACAGAGCAUGCAUGGCCCUCCCUGGGCAGGUCUACUCCAGGUGAGACACGGUUUGAGCCAGGCUACAGCCCCCAGAGCUAUCUAACCACAGGAGCUUGAAUGACACACCUACCUCUCAAGAUUAUAGAGUCUGCCUCAAAAGCCACCACUAUGCCAGCUUCCUGUGUGGGUCUAUAGACCCCUUGGGAGAUCUACAUGAUAGUGCCUGAACGGAGACUGAGCAUUAGAAUGCAUCUUAAUUUCAAGCACAUCAGCUCCACUGCCAAUAUGGAUUCAGUGAUCCAAAGUGUUUAAAUCCAAGUCUGGGGUGCAAGUUGAUGCUCUUAAGUGGCUGUUGUGGACCUGGGGUUCCUGUGACAGUAAACUUGGGCUUGAGAAAGGAUCCAAAGAGUGCCUGGGCCUCAAGAAGACACUACCAAGGAAUGAAUGGCCCUCACUGAACUCCUGUGACAUAAUAAGAUAUCUUCACCAUUGAAUAAGGGAUUUUCCUUGAAAAUAUUAUGCUAAUUGAAAGAAACCAAAUUGUAGAAGGUCACAUAUUAUAUGAUUUCAUUUAUAUGAAAUGUCCAGAAUAGGCAAAUCUAUAGAGACAGAAAGUAGAUUCAUUCUUAUCAGAGGCUGAGGGGUAAGGUGGGGAAAUGGCUUUGACUGCUAGUGGGUGUAAGGUUUCUUUUGUGGGGAGAUGAAAAUGUUCUAGAAUUUGAGAUUGGUGAUGGAUGCAUGAUUUUAUCAAUGUACUAAAAGCCAUUGACUUGCACACAUUAAAUUAGUAAAUGGUAUGGUACAUAAAUUACAACUCAAUAAAGCUGUUUAAAAAAAAUACGGCAUUCUGUCUACUAAAAUAAAACAAAAGAAAUAAGUAAAACCAGACUUUCACAGUCAACAAGUCUGUCAUCAGAUAAUGCUGAUUAAUAGUAAAACUGUAAUACACUCUCCCUCUGAAGUUGGAGUGGGCUCUGCUGAAAAUAGAAAUCUCAGGCAUAUGAAGAGGUUGGUGUCAGUCUGUUCUUCGUGGAAUACAUUUAAUGAGAAUCUUUUGCUUCUUUCUCUAAAGAAAGUAGAACUGAAAGAGGAGGGUGUCAGUUUCUUAGCAGCUUGCAAAGCCCAAAUCAAUAUAAAAAGAGCUUCCAUUUCUCAAGUAUCUUCUAGGUAUUCAGUGAAUACCCAGGGUUAAGGCUAUUUACAUGCAUACUUGCUAAUCCUCACCACAACGCUGCAAGGUAGAUAUUCCUAUCUCUGUUUCACUUAGGAGAGAAAUUAUGUUCCCAAAGUUGCAGAGCAAGUAAAUAGCAGAACCAAGAUUAGACCCAGAUCAGUCUAACUCCAAGGCCUUUGUCCUCAGUAUCUCUCAACCCUCAAUUAGAAGAGUUAUCACGGCCCUGGCUGAACCUGCCUAGGUUAUUUAACAAAUUUUUAGCAUUUUGAAGCCAUUCCAUUCAGUUACAGCAGCAGUUACUGUUCAGAAAUUUACAUUCCAAAAACUGAAAUCAACAAGGCAAUGCUGCUUGUCUCAGCAUUGUAGUUUUGAUGAUUCUUAGAGAUGUGUUAUGUUAUUUAAGACAUUUUUAGUGGCUCUCACUGCCAAAGACUAUGGAUCUCAUCAUUGCCUGUGCCCACAAGGACCCUCUGUUCCCUCUGACCUCAGGCCUCUUCCCAUCCAACAAGCCUCUCUGCACUUCUAUGUUCCCCUACUGGAACAAAGUCAGAACUGGAUCUGCUGACGCCACAUAUAGGUAUGGAAUCUGAGAUUGCUCUAUUGGGAUCAUCAUUCUAGACACUUCCCUCUGCCAUGGCAGGCUUUUGCUUCCAUGCCAGAUUGACAUGAUGCUAUACUGAGUGAGGACAACUCUGAGAGACCCACAGUCUUCCCAAGCUAGACCCAGGGAAGCAGUUUGGGGGUUCCCCAAAUAUAUUUGGCUGUUUGCAUGGACCCAGGGGGAUUUAACCUCAAGGGCAAAAUAAGAACUCUCAUCUCAGAAUCCCUGCCACCCUCUCUGUGCCCUACUCUUCAUGACUGGAAGAAGUUUUCUCUUCCCUUAGGGGUGGGAAUGCCAAGUCAUAUCCUGCUUCUCUCAAUACCGUGCCUCAGAGUAGAACCCUUUGCUCAGACCCCUCAGGUCUGCUCUGGAUAUAUAAAGGGAAUCUUUGGAAACAUACAAAACCCUUUCUCUCUCAAUAAAUCCUGGCUUUCAAGGUGAAUUCCUCUUCAUGGACCCAAAGAGUCUAAUUUCAAAUGGAAAGCUCAGGAAUGAUCUCUUGUUCUGGACCAGUUCUACCCAGGCUCUGAUCUCUGUGUGUGAACUGUUUGUUACUGUCUGCAACAAUAAAGUAUAGGAAUUGAGAAUAUUUGGAAACUUUUAUAGAAAUUUGGCAGAGCAAUUUUAUGUUGUUGAAUUUAAUUAAAAUCUUGUACCUCUUA